GCCAGGCACAGUUGUGCGUGCCUGUAGUCCCAGCUAUUCGGGUGGUUGAGGCUUGAUGAUCGCUGGAGUCCAAGAGUUCUGGGCUGUAAUAUGCUAUGCCGAUCAGGUGUCUGCACUAAGUUUGGCAACAAUAUGGUGACCUCCUGGGAGUGGGAGACCACUAGGUUGCCUAAGGAGGGGUGAACUGGCCAAGGUCAGAAACAGAGCAGGUCAAAACUCCCGUGCUGAUCAGUAGUGGGACCACGCCUGUCAAUAGCCACUGUACUCCAGCCUGGGCAAAACAUAGCGAGACCCCAACUCA
rnacentral:SRP_RNA from 1 species